rnacentral:rRNA from 1 species
UACGUAGGGGGCAAGCGUUGUUCGGAAUUACUGGGCGUAAAGGGCUCGUAGGCGGCCAACUAAGUCACACGUGAAAUCCCCAGGCUUAACCUGGGAACUGCGUGUGAUACUGGAUGGCUUGAAUCCGGGAGAGGGAUGCAGAAUUCCAGGUGUAGCGGUGAAAUGCGUAGAUAUCUGGAGGAAUACCGGUGGCGAAGGCGGCAUCCUGGACCGGCAUUGACGCUGAUGAGCGAAAGCUAGGGGAGCAAACGGG